GUAGGGAAUCUUCGGCAAUGGACGAAAGUCUGACCGAGCAACGCCGCGUGAGUGAAGAAGGUUUUCGGAUCGUAAAACUCUGUUGGUAGAGAAGAACGUUGGUGAGAGUGGAAAGCCCAUCAAGUGACGGUAACUACCCAGAAAGGGACGGCUAACUACGUGCCAGCAGCCGCGGUAAUACGUAGGUCCCGAGCGUUGUCCGGAUUUAUUGGGCGUAAAGCGAGCGCAGGUGGUUUAUUAAGUCUGGUGUAAAAGGCAGUGGCUCAACCAUUGUAUGCAUUGGAAACUGGUAGACUUGAGUGCAGGAGAGGAGAGUGGAAUUCCAUGUGUAGCGGUGAAAUGCGUAGAUAUAUGGAGGAACACCGGUGGCGAAAGCGGCUCUCUGGCCUGUAACUGACACUGAGGCUCGAAAGCGUGGGGAGCAAACAGGAUUAGAUACCCGGGUAGUCC
rnacentral:rRNA from 1 species